rnacentral:rRNA from 1 species
UAGGGAAUCUUCCGCAAUGGACGAAAGUCUGACGGAGCAACGCCGCGUGAGCGAUGAAGGCCUUCGGGUCGUAAAGCUCUGUUGUUAGGGAAGAACAAGUAUCGGAGUAACUGCCGGUACCUUGACGGUACCUAACCAGAAAGCCACGGCUAACUACGUGCCAGCAGCCGCGGUAAUACGUAGGUGGCAAGCGUUGUCCGGAAUUAUUGGGCGUAAAGCGCGCGCAGGCGGUCCUUUAAGUCUGAUGUGAAAGCCCACGGCUCAACCGUGGAGGGUCAUUGGAAACUGGGGGACUUGAGUACAGAAGAGGAAAGCGGAAUUCCACGUGUAGCGGUGAAAUGCGUAGAGAUGUGGAGGAACACCAGUGGCGAAGGCGGCUUUCUGGUCUGUAACUGACGCUGAGGCGCGAAAGCGUGGGAGCAAACAGGAUUAGAUACCCUGGUAGUCCACGCCGUAAACGA